GGUUCCUUAGCUCAAUUGGUCAGAGCAGUUGGCUGUUAACCAACAGGUUGUAGGUUCAAGUCCUACAGGUUCCG
rnacentral:tRNA from 1 species